AUAUUGUACGUUGAGUGCAGGUGAGAAGCUGCGUUCAGGUUCGAGCCGAGCGAAGCGAGACAGCGUUGCGCUUGCCGCAACGACCCGAAGGGCGAGGGCAAAGUCCGAGUAAUCCUGCACGACCCACCA
rnacentral:sRNA from 1 species